rnacentral:rRNA from 1 species
GCAGAGCCAUCCUACGGGGGGCAGCAGUGGGGAAUAUUGCACAAUGGGCGCAAGCCUGAUGCAGCCAUGCCGCGUGUAUGAAGAAGGCCUUCGGGUUGUAAAGUACUUUCAGCAGUGAGGAAGGUGGGUAUGUUAAUAGCAUACUCAUUUGACGUUAGCUGCAGAAGAAGCACCGGCUAACUCCGUGCCAGCAGCCGCGGUAAUACGGAGGGUGCGAGCGUUAAUCGGAAUUACUGGGCGUAAAGCGCAUGCAGGUGGUUUGUUAAGUCAGAUGUGAAAGCCCGGGGCUCAACCUCGGAAUUGCAUUUGAAACUGGACAAACUAGAGUACUGUAGAGGGGGUAGAAUUUCAGGUGUAGCGGUGAAAUGCGUAGAGAUCUGAAGGAAUACCGGUGGCGAAGGCGGCCCCCUGGACAGAUACUGACACUCAGAUGCGAAAGCGUGGGGAGCAAACAGGAUUAGAUACCCUGGUAG